rnacentral:lncRNA from 10 species
AUGACCACUGUCCUGAGAGGACGUGGAUGAGGGCAGGUCAUUUGUCAGUUUUUUCUCCAAUCAAAGAUUGGGUCAGACAUAGCCGCUGGGCAACUGACAUGAGAUCUGCAUAUCUGUAAGUAGAAGAGCAAGAAGGCCACCCACUCUUCCUCCUAGUGAACCUGUGGCACAGCAGUUCCAUCUUUAGAGCUCAAUUACAUGCUUGACUACACUACCAAACGUCAAAACAUCAAAAACAGAAAGAAGCCCCUCCACUCCAAGUGAAAUUAAGUUUUA